AGGACAAACGCUGGCGGCGUGCAUAACACAUGCAAGUCGAACGAGUGCCGCAAGGCACGAGUGGCGGACGGGUGAGGAACACGUGGAUGAUCGACCCAUUGCUGGGGAAUACCCCUGGGAAACCAGGGCUAAUACCGCAUGCGCUCGGUGACGAGGAAAGCCGCGAGGCGGCGAUGGACGAGUCUGCGCCCGAUUAGCUGGUUGGCGGGGUAACGGCCCACCAAGGCGACGAUCGGUAGCUGGUCUGAGAGGAUGAUCAGCCACAUUGGGAUUGAGAACGGCCCAAAAUCCCUACGGGGAGCAGCAGUGAGGAAUAUUCGGCAAUGGGCGCAAGCCUGACCGAGCGACGCCGCGUGGGGACGACGCAUUUCGGUGUGUAAACCCUUUCUGUGUGACGAGAAUGGACGGUAGCACAGGAAUCAGCCUCGGCUAACUACGCGCCAGCAGCCGC
rnacentral:rRNA from 1 species